rnacentral:misc_RNA from 1 species
GAUGAAGAACGUAGCAAAAUGCGAUAAGUAAUGUGAAUUGCAGAAUUCAGUGAAUCAUCGAAUCUUUGAACGCACAUUGCGCCCGCCAGUAUUCUGGCGGGCAUGCCUGUUCGAGCGUCAUUUCAACCCUCAAGCACAGCUUGGUGUUGGGACUCGCGUUAAUUCGCGUUCCUCAAAUUGAUUGGCGGUCACGUCGAGCUUCCAUAGCGUAGUAGUAAAACCCUCGUUACUGGUAAUCGUCGCGGCCACGCCGUUAAACCCCAACUUCUGAAUGUUGACCUCGGAUCAGGUAGGAAUACCCGCUGAACCUAAGCAUAUCAAUAAGCGGAGGA